AUGCAAGACUACUUCGCGGCGACACCUACGUAUCCGCCGCACCUCUUCCAGAGAAGGAAUCGAAUGCGUUGAUCCCUCUUUGUAAAAAUAGUAGAAGCUUGCGCGGCCAAUUCUCGAUUUUUUACCCAAAGGAGAAACACCGCGGGCUUGAAGGGUUUUAGCGCAUAUAUAAAAAUCUCGGCAACUAUGAGGGUGAUUGGAUAUGGCAUUCCGACUGACUAUGCCGAUGAGUAUCUUCACAUUGUUUUGUAUGCACUGGACUUGGAAAAACUGUCCGAAGACAUGGCACGGGCAGUAUUGUGGUAA
rnacentral:rRNA from 1 species